rnacentral:rRNA from 1 species
AACGAACGCUGGCGGCAGGCCUAACACAUGCAAGUCGAACGGCAGCGGGGGAUAGUUUGCUAUCCUGCCGGCGAGUGGCGGACGGGUGAGUAAUGCAUGGGGAGCUGCCCAAUCGAGGGGGAUAACAACUGGAAACGGUUGCUAAUACCGCAUACGCCCUGCGGGGGAAAGGUGGGGACCUUCGGGCCUACCGCGAUUGGAUGCACCCAUGUGGGAUUAGCUGGUUGGUGAGGUAACGGCUCACCAAGGCGACGAUCUCUAGCUGGUCCGAGAGGAUGACCAGCCACACUGGAACUGAGACACGGUCCAGACUCCUACGGGAGGCAGCAGUGGGGAAUAUUGCACAAUGGGGGAAACCCUGAUGCAGCCAUGCCGCGUGUGUGAAGAAGGCCUUCGGGUUGUAAAGCACUUUCAGUGGGGAGGAAGGGGAGUAAGCUAAUAACUUGCUUCAUUGACGUUACCCACAGAAGAAGCACCGGCUAACUCCGUGCCAGCCGCCGCAGUAA